CGUGUAGGCGGUUUGAUUAGUCUGAUGUGAAAGCCCUGGGCUCAACCCAGGAAGUGCAUUGGAUACUGUCAGACUUGAAUACGGGAGAGGGUAGUGGAAUUCCUAGUGUAGGAGUGAAAUCCGUAGAUAUUAGGAGGAACACCGGUGGCGAAGGCGGCUGCCUGGACCGAUAUUGACGCUGAGACGCGAAAGCGUGGGUAGCAAACA
rnacentral:rRNA from 1 species